AACGAACGCUGGCGGCAGGCUUAACACAUGCAAGUCGAGCGCCUCGCAAGGGGAGCGGCAGACGGGUGAGUAACGCGUGGGAAACUACCCUUUGGUACGGAAUAACACAGAGAAAUUUGUGCUAAUACCGUAUGUGCCCUUCGGGGGAAAGAUUUAUCGCCAUAGGAUGUGCCCGCGUCGGAUUAGCUAGUUGGUGUGGUAAUGGCGCACCAAGGCGACGAUCCGUAGCUGGUCUGAGAGGAUGACCAGCCACAUUGGGACUGAGACACGGCCCAAACUCCUACGGGAGGCAGCAGUAGGGAAUUUUCCGCAAUGGGCGAAAGCCUGACGGAGCAACGCCGCGUGAGGGAAGAAGGUCUUCGGAUCGUAAACCUUUGUCAUCGGGGACGAUCAUGACGGUACCCGAGGAGGAAGCCCCGGCUAACUACGUG
rnacentral:rRNA from 1 species